rnacentral:lncRNA from 1 species
GCAAGCUGGCCCUUCCAGCUUAGAAAACAGGCUGAGCAAGCCAGGGCGGAGCAAGUCAGUAAGCAGCAUUCCUCCAUGUCUCCUGUGUCACUUUCUGCCUUGACUUGCCUCAGUGAUGCAGUGUGAUCCGAGAUGUAUAAACCACAUGAAUCUCCCGGUUGCUUUGCUUGUGUUGUUAUCACAGCAAUAGAAAGCAAAUCAGAGCCAGGCAUGGUGGCACACGCCUUUAAUCCCAGCACUUGGGAGGCAGAGGCAGGCAGAUUUCUGAGUUCGAGGCCAGCCUGGUCUACAAAGUGAGUUCCAGGACAGCCAGGGCUAUACAGAGAAACCCUGUCUCGAAAAACCAAAAAAAAAAAAAAAAGAAAAAAGAAAAAAAAAAAAAGAAAGCAAAUCAGGACACUACCUAAGAAAAGAAGAACCUAUUUCCUUCUUUCCACACAGUCAAGAUUCCAAACAGAUGAUGAGAAAGUCCUCUGCUUCCUAGCCUAUGCCUUGGCUCUGUUCCCCUCCCCCACCUCCCAGCAGGUAUAAUAUCUAAACUGUGUCAGAAGACCGUGACUACGGUAUGAUGGUGUUAGACGACAUCCGCUCAGCGCUGCUUGCUUCAGGACCAAGGUUUAGGUGACACCACAGAGCCCAUAGUCUUCCUGCACUUUCCCUAGUUGUGAGAAGGAUGGGAAAAGUGAGAAGAAUAAGCUCGUUUUUAUUCUGUGAUUCUGCGAGCCAGAUUUAACCAUAAGUUACUAAAACUUGAGAUAUUUCCAUGGUGACAAAUGGAUAUAACUGACUCUUUUUUAUCCUGGUUUAUAAUCUUCUAUCACAGGAGAACAUCACGUUUUGCUAUUUUAUAUAUAUCACACACACACACACAUACAUACACACACAUAUAUAUUUUAUUUUUAUGUGUAUAGAUAUUUUGCCUGCAUGCAUGUCUAUAUACCAUAUGUAUGCCCAAUGCCCAAGGUAGCCAGAAUAAGGUGUUGGAUCCCUAGAAUCAGAGUUGAAGAUAGUUGUGAGUUAUCAUGUAGGUGCUAAAGACCCAGGAAGAGUAGCAUAUAUUCUUAACCACUCAACAACAACAACAACUUCUUCUUCUUCUUCUUCCUCUUCUUCCUCUUCUUCCUCUUCCUCUUCCUCUUCUUCUUCUCUUCUCCUCCUUCUUCUCUUCUCCUCCUCUUUCUUCUCUCUUCCUCCUCCUCCUCCUCCUUCUUCUCUCCUCCUCCUCCUUCUUCUCUCCUCCUCCUCCUCCUUCUCUCUUCCUCCUCCUCCUUCUUCUCCCCUUUCCUCUUCUUCCUCUCUCUCUC